GAUCAUAUUUCGCUUGACCGUUACUUCGCGUCCCAAACCAACUGACACAGCACCCCCGACUAUAGGUAGGGGAACGGUCGCACACACAGGACAAUGCACGUCGCGUAUCAUCUAAUUAACCAGUUGACUUUACCAUCACGGACCGCCAAUAUCCUCGACCUUGCGCUCUAUAUUUUUGCCGUUUUACUACAAGCCGCCCAUCCGACUAUCUUUUGUGUGCGUCCGUUUCAACUCCGCUUUGACCAACCAUUUCAUCGUCCAACCCAGGUCAGAGUGUAUAUAUAUAUAUAUAUAUAUUGUAUAAUUUUGUAUUUUAUUUAGAAACCCUAAUUUAGAAUAAAACAUCUUGUAGCCUGCA